AGCCACCUGGCAAUGGGCUAAGAGACACUCUGUUAGUGGAGUUGCUCUUCCAUGAGUCAGGGGCAGAGCAGAUGCAGUCCUUUGUUCAUCCUAGCUUGGUGCCUGGCUUGGUGGCCAAAAGCUGUCUUAGGCCUAGGACUCUUAG